AUUGAACGCUGGCGGCAGGCCUAACACAUGCAAGUCGAGCGGAUGAAGGGAGCUUGCUCCUGGAUUCAGCGGCGGACGGGUGAGUAAUGCCUAGGAAUCUGCCUGGUAGUGGGGGAUAACGUCCGGACACGGGCGCUAAUACCGCAUCCGUCCUGAGGGAGAAAGUGGGGGAUCUUUGGACCUCACGCUAUCAGAUGAGCCUAGGUCGGAUUAGCUAGUUGGUGGGGUAAAGGCUUACCAAGGCGACGAUCCGUAACUGGUCUGAGAGGAUGAUCAGUCACACUGGAACUGAGACACGGUCCAGACUCCUACGGGAGGCAGCAGUAGGGAAUAUUGGACAAUGGGCGAAAGCCUGAUCCAGCCAUGCCGCGUGUGUGAAGAAGGUCUUCGGAUUGUAAAGCUCUUUAAGUUGGGAGGAAGAGCAGUAAGUUAAUACCUUGCUGUUUUGACGUUACCAACAGAAUAAGCACCGGCUAACUUCGUG
rnacentral:rRNA from 1 species